UGAAGUAAGUAAGGGCGUACGGUGAAUGCCUUGGUGCCAACAGGCGAAGAAGGACGCGGCAAGCUGCGAAAAGCCUCGGGAAGCUGCAAGCAAGCGAUGAUCCGGGGAUAUCCGAAUGGGGUAACCUGAUCGAGGCAAUACUCGAUCGUUCAUACCUGAAUACAUAGGGUAUGAAACGCGAAACCCGCUGAAGUGAAACAUCUCAGUAAGCGGAGGAAAAGAAAGAGAAAUCGAUUCCGUAAGUAGUGGCGAGCGAAAGCGGAUGGAGCCCAAACCGAAGGUAUUCCUUCGGGGUUGUAGGACCACGUCAUAUUCGACCAUACUGGAUAGUAGAACAGCCUGGAAAGGCUGGCCGGAGAAGGUGAAAGCCCUGUAGACGAAAUCCAGAGUGGGAAUUAGUGGUAUCCUGAGUAAUACAUCACACGUGGAACGAUGUAUGAACCCGCGCGGACCACCGCGCAAGGCUAAAUACUAGUUGGCGACCGAUAGUGAACAAGUACCGCGAGGGAAAGGUGAAAAGAACCGCUGUGAGCGGAGUGAAAUAGAACCUGAAACCGUAUGUCUACAAAGUGUCAGAGCAGAGCAAUCUGCGAUGGCGUGCCUUUUGUUUAAUGAGUCUGCGAGUCAGUGUUUGUGGCAAGACUAAGGGCUUCCGGCCCGGAGUCGCAGCGAAAGCAAGUCCGAACAGGGCGCAAUAAGUCGCAGGUACUGGACCCGAAGCGGAGGUGACCUACCCUUGGCCAGGUUGAAGCAUGGGUAAAACCAUGUGGAGGACCGAACAGGUGAACGUUGAAAAGUUCUCUGAUGAGCUGAGGGUAGGAGUGAAAGGCUAAUCAAACCCCGUGAUAGCUGGUUCUCUUCGAAAUGCAUUUAGGUGCAGCGUCACGUGCUGAUGCGCGGGGGUAGAGCACUGACAAGGCUAGGGGGCACACCCGCUUACCAAACCUUAUCAAACUCCGAAUACCGUGCAAUGGAACGUGGCAGUGAGACAGUGGGGGAUAAGCUUCAUUGUCGAGAGGGAAACAACCCAGACCAGCAGCUAAGGUGCCUAAAUAACGCUCAGUGGAAAGGAUGUGGGAUUACACAGACAGUGAGGAUGUUGGCUUAGAAGCAGCCACCAUUUAAAAAAUGCGUAAUAGCUUACUCAUCGAGUGAUCCUGCGCCGAAAAUGAUUGGCGAUCAAGCGUUAUACCGAAGCUCUGGACUUUGCCGCAAGGCAGAGUGGUAGAAGAGCGUUGCAUGCGCGUCGAAGGGCGAUGGCGACUGACCCUGGAGCACAUGCAAGUGAGUAUGCAGACAUGAGUAACGUUAAGCCGGGUGAAAUCCCCGGCCGCCGUAAACCCGAGGUUUCCAGGGCAACGUGUUUCGUCCCUGGGUUAGCCGGGACCUAAGCCGAGGCCGAGAGGCGUAGGCGAUGGACAUCAGGUUAAUAAUCCUGAGCUCGCAACCCUUAAACUGGGGGGACGCAUGAGAAAAGAUGACUAGGUUAUUGAAUUCCGAGUUGAGUCUACGGACUCAGCGCAUCAUUGGAUCGAGUGCCAAGAAAAGCCCCAGCGUAUGCUAAGCGACCCGUACCGCAAACCGACACAGGUGGGUGGGUAGAAUAUACCAAGGCGUAAGAGUGAAACCUGGUUAAGGAACUCGGCAAAUUGGCCCCGUAACUUCGGAAGAAGGGGUGCCUGCAGCGAUGCAGGCCGCAGAGAAAUGGCCCAACCGACUGUUUAUCAAAAACACAGCACUCUGCAAAGACGCAAGUCGAAGUAUAGGGUGUGACACGUGACCAAUGCCGAAAGAUUAAGGCAAGGGGUUAGCCGCAAGGCGAAGCUCUAAACCCAAGUCCCGGUGAAUGUCGGCCGUAACUAUAACGGUCCUAAGGUAGCGAAAUUCCUUGUCGGGUAAGUUC
rnacentral:rRNA from 1 species